rnacentral:rRNA from 1 species
AUUGAACGCUGGCGGCAUGCCUUACACAUGCAAGUCGAACGUGAAAGCGGGGCAACCCGCAAGUAGAGUGGCGGACGGGUGAGUAAUACAUCGGAACGUGUCCAGUAAUGGGGGAUAACCUAGCGAAAGUUAGGCUAAUACCGCAUACGAUCUGCGGAUGAAAGCGGGGGAUGCGGCACUAAAGGCUUUUGGCGAAGGUCGCCAAAGGUGAGUCAAGAGCUUUUAGUGCUGCACCUCGCGUUAUUGGANCGGCUGAUGUCUGAUUAGCUAGUGUGAGGUAAAGCUUACAAGGCGACGAUCAGUAGCUGGUCUGAGAGGACGGCCAGCCACACUGGGACUGAGACACGGCCCAGACU